CCCUUAGUUAUCCUAGGUCGCACGCGCCAUACAAUGUGGCGCACAACGAGUCUCCUUGGCCGACAGGAUGUCCCGCGAGCGAUCGGCGACGCAGCCAGCUCGGUCUUCGGGCAGACUCGGUGAGAGUGGCCCGUCCUCCUGAGAGGGCGAUCGUCGAUGCCUCGGGAUUCUGGGCAAUCUGGCAGAGCGCUACGUGACUGGGCUAGACUUUUGUAAUUUUUGGUCUUGAACGAGGAAUGCCUAGUAAUCGCAGGUCAGCAUCCUGCGAGGAUUCGGUCCCUGCCCUUUGUACACACCGCCCGUCGCUCCAUCCGUGGCAUGCGCCGGUGAAGAGGGGGAGGCAGCGUCGGCCGUGUAACAGCGGAUCGUACGUGGAACCCCUCUGAACCUUCGCACGUAGAGGAAGGAGAAGUCGUAACA
rnacentral:rRNA from 1 species